rnacentral:rRNA from 1 species
ACGAACGCUGGCGGCACGCUUAACACAUGCAAGUCGAACGAGAGAAGAGGAGCUUGCUUUUCUGAUCUAGUGGCGGACGGGUGAGUAACACGUGAGCAAUCUGCCUUUCAGAGGGGGAUACCGAUUGGAAACGAUCGUUAAUACCGCAUAACAUAAUUGAACCGCAUGAUUUGAUUAUCAAAGAUUUAUCGCUGAAAGAUGAGCUCGCGUCUGAUUAGCUAGUUGGUAAGGUAACGGCUUACCAAGGCGACGAUCAGUAGCCGGACUGAGAGGUUGAUCGGCCACAUUGGGACUGAGACACGGCCCAGACUCCUACGGGAGGCAGCAGUGGGGAAUAUUGCACAAUGGAGGAAACUCUGAUGCAGCGAUGCCGCGUGAGGGAAGAAGGUUUUAGGAUUGUAAACCUCUGUCUUCAGGGACGAAAAAAGACGGUACCUGAGGAGGAAGCUCCGGCUAACUACGUGCCAGCAGCCGCGGUAAUACGUAGGGAGCGAGCGUUGUCCGGAAUUACUGGGUGUAAAGGGAGCGUAGGCGGGAUCGCAAGUCAGAUGUGAAAACUAUGGGCUUAACCCAUAAACUGCAUUUGAAACUGUGGUUCUUGAGUGAAGUAGAGGUAAGCGGAAUUCCUAGUGUAGCGGUGAAAUGCGUAGAUAUUAGGAGGAACAUCAGUGGCGAAGGCGGCUUACUGGGCUUUAACUGACGCUGAGGCUCGAAAGCGUGGGGAGCAAACAGGAUUAGAUACCCUGGUAGUCCACGCCGUAAACGAUGAUUACUAGGUGUGGGGGGACUGACCCCUUCCGUGCCGCAGCAAACGCAAUAAGUAAUCCACCUGGGGAGUACGACCGCAAGGUUGAAACUCAAAGGAAUUGACGGGGGCCCGCACAAGCAGUGGAGUAUGUGGAUUAAUUCGAAGCAACGCGAAGAACCUUACCAGGUCUUGACAUCGUAUGCAUAGCUCAGAGAUGAGUGAAAUCUCUUCGGAGACAUAUAGACAGGUGGUGCAUGGUUGUCGUCAGCUCGUGUCGUGAGAUGUUGGGUUAAGUCCCGCAACGAGCGCAACCCUUACUGUUAGUUGCUACGCAAGAGCACUCUAGCAGGACUGCCGUUGACAAAACGGAGGAAGGUGGGGAUGACGUCAAAUCAUCAUGCCCCUUAUGACCUGGGCCUCACACGUACUACAAUGGCUGUCAACAGAGGGAAGCAAAGCCGCGAGGUGGAGCGAACCCCUAAAAGCAGUCUUAGUUCGGAUUGUAGGCUGCAACCCGCCUACAUGAAGUCGGAAUUGCUAGUAAUCGCAGAUCAGCAUGCUGCGGUGAAUACGUUCCCGGGCCUUGUACACACCGCCCGUCACGCCAUGGGAGUCGGUAACACCCGAAGCCUGUAGUCUAACCGCAAGGAGGACGCAGUCGAAGGUGGGAUUGUUGACUGGGGUG